rnacentral:rRNA from 1 species
UACGUAGGGUGCGAGCGUUAAUCGGAAUUACUGGGCGUAAAGCGUGCGCAGGCGGUUGUGCAAGACAGAUGUGAAAUCCCCGGGCUUAACCUGGGAACUGCAUUUGUGACUGCACGGCUAGAGUGCGGCAGAGGGGAGUGGAAUUCCGCGUGUAGCAGUGAAAUGCGUAGAUAUGCGGAGGAACACCGAUGGCGAAGGCAGCUCCCUGGGCCUGCACUGACGCUCAUGCACGAAAGCGUGGGGAGCAAACAGGAUUAGAUACCCUGGUAGUCCACGCCCUAAACGAUGUCAACUGGUUGUUGGUCCUUCACUGGAUCAGUAACGUAGCUAACGCGUGAAGUUGACCGCCUGGGGAGUACGGCCGCAAGGUUGAA